rnacentral:rRNA from 1 species
CGGAACGGGUGAGUAAUGCGUGACCAACCUGCCCCAUGCUCCAGAAUAGCUCUUGGAAACGGGUGGUAAUGCUGGAUGCUCCAACUUGACGCAUGUCUUGUUGGGAAAGUGUUUAGUGGCAUGGGAUGGGGUCGCGUCCUAUCAGCUUGUAGGCGGGGUAAUGGCCCACCUAGGCUUCGACGGGUAGCCGGCCUGAGAGGGCGGACGGCCACAUUGGGACUGAGAUACGGCCCAGACUCCUACGGGAGGCAGCAGA